UGACCCAAAAUGAGCUUCAAACCAUGCUU
rnacentral:piRNA from 1 species